rnacentral:lncRNA from 1 species
GCCUGGAGUGGGCGGGGCCUGGGGGCCGGGCCGGGGCGCCCGAUGGGGGCGUGCACUCUCCGCGGGGACACGCGCUCUGGGCCGCGGCAACUCGCUCCAAGUUCCCUCCCUCGCGCUCCGCGAAGCCCGCCCGAGCCCGCCCGAGCCCUCCCCUCCCCUCCUCUCCCCUCGGCGCGGACCUAGCCCUCCGCGGCCUCGCGCCCCGCGCCCCCGGCCCGCCGGCUCGGCUCCCCCCGGCCCCGCGGGGCGGCGCGAGGACUCGGCGGCGGCCCCCUCCCCGCGGGCCCGGGAGCCGACGCCGGCUGGGGCCGCACCUCCGGGACCGGGCAGCGCGGCCGAGCUCUGCCUGCAGCCGAACACAAAGACCUGGAGGAGACUCCCACAUCCUUCGGGGAGAAGAAAGGAGGCAGCGGCGCCGGUUCCGGGAGCUCGUGGCUCGUGGCCUUCGGGAGGGGGGAAGUGGAUCGCGGCGUUGGCGGCGGCGUUGGCGGCGGCGGGCGAGCCGUGAGAUGCGGCGGCGCCGCGGCGGCGCCUGCUGACACCCCGGUCCCCGGCGCCGGCCGCUGCCCUUUGUGCUUCGCGUACAUGUGUCAGCUCGGCGCAUCCGGAGGCGCGCGCACCGGAAUCCAACACGGCCG